CCAAAACAUGCAAUAACCCCAUAAAAGUAUAUCCUCAGAACCGGGGGAUCUGGGUGAACCACAUAUCCAAAAUUCACCCAGAUCCGUUCAGUAGUUUGGAAGAUACCGUUUAAUGCAGAUUCUGCAGAACAUAUACAGGCUAUAUGAAAAAUAAUUACUGCAUAAUGUGUCCCCUGUUGUAUAGUUUAAAACUACUGCACUAAAAUCAAGUAUGCCCACAUCAGUUCCUAGAAGGGCAAUACAUCCCAGGGCCAUAGUCGCAGGGCUGGAGGCUGGGAAACAGGCCCCUCCAAAAACCAGUGGCAAGGUUACUUUCGCCACAGCCAUACUAAGAGUUUGUGUGUAUUAGUGAGAGAGACUGUGACAUUGUGUGUCUAUUAGUGAGUCAGUGUGUGUAUAUUAGUGAGAGGGACUGUAAGUGACAUUGUGUGUGUCUCACUGAGGGUAUAUGUAUUAGUGAGAGAGACUGUAAGGGACAUUGUGUGUGUCUCACUGAGGGUGUGUAUAUUAGUGAGAGGGACUGUAAGUGACAUUGUGUGUGUCUCACUGUAAGUGACAUUGUGUGUGUCUCACUGAGGGUGUAUUAGUGAGAGAGACUGUAAGGGACAUUGUGUGUGUCUCACUGAGGGUGUGUAUAUUAGUGAGAGGGACUGUAAGUGACAUUGUGUGUGUCUCACUGAGGGUAUAUGUAUUAGUGAGAGAGACUGUAAGGGACAUUGUGUGUGUCUCACUGAGGGUGUGUAUAUUAGUGAGAGGGACUGUAAGUGACAUUGUGUGUGUCUCACUGAGGGUAUGUGUAUUAGUGAGAGAGACUGUAAGGGACAUUGUGUGUGUAUGAGUGAGAGAGACUAAGGGACAUUGUGUGUGCCUCACUGAGGGUGUGUGGAUUAGUGAGAGAGACUGUAAGGGACAUUGUGUGUGUCACACUGAGGGUGUGUGGAUUAGUGAGAGAGACUGUAAGGGACAUUGUGUGUGUCUCACUGAGGGUAUGUGUAUUAGUGAGAGAGACUGUAAGGGACAUUGUGUGUGUCUCACUGAGGGUGUGUAUUAGUGAGAGAGACUGACAUUGUGUGUCUCAGUGAGAGUGUGUGUAUUCGUUGGAGAGUCUGUGUAAUCAUUGGGUGAUCUAAAUUUGUACUCAAAGUACAUCAACUAAGGAAGUUGCUUUGUGAAAAGAGAGAGUGUGGUUAAGGGCUGUG